AACCAUAGAAACCUGCGGAGUACCUGCGGAGGGAUCAUUAUAGUAUAUGGAAUCUCCAUUCUAUAAACCCACUCUGCGUAUCUUGUAACUGUUGCUUCCAUGGGACUUAGUUCCGCCACACCGGCUUCACGGCUGGUGAGCGCCCAUGGAAGGAGAAACAAAACUCUUCUUUGAAAUGUAGUCAGUCUGAACAAGUUUUUAUAAACGUUAAAACUUUUAACAAUGGAUCUCAGAUCGGAA
rnacentral:misc_RNA from 1 species